UACGGGGGGGGCUAGCGUUGUUCGGAAUUACUGGGCGUAAAGGGCGCGUAGGCGGUCUGUUGCGUCAGGAGUGAAAACUCGGGGCUUAACCCCGAGCCUGCUUCUGAUACGGGCAGACUAGAGGUAUGCAGGGGAGAACGGAAUUCCUGGUGUAGCGGUGAAAUGCGCAGAUAUCAGGAGGAACACCGGUGGCGAAGGCGGUUCUCUGGGCCGAUACUGACGCUGAGGAGCGAAAGCGUGGGGAGCGAACAGG
rnacentral:rRNA from 1 species